rnacentral:lncRNA from 1 species
UAUCUCCUCAGAAAGUGACUGAGAAUCCUAAGAAAGACGAGCGAGAUGAAAGCCCUGGCCAUUCUGAAGGAUAAAAGAACAACUAUUGAAGCAGAAUUACACCAGGAGCAAACCAACACAGGAAACGCCAGAUGGGAACUUCAUAAGGAAUUUGAGGUAGGCGUUAUCAGCGACAAAACAACUGGAAAUUGAAACGGAAAAACUGAGAAAGAUUUACAAUGAUAAAUCUGAGGUAAUCUAACGUUUUAUGUUCAGUUUACCGUAUUUCUAUUUUAGUGAGAGAUGUUGAGUAUUUCAAAUUCAAUUUCUUAUUCAUAUCUCUGUUUCAGAAAGUGUGAAGUUUAAGGGAGCAACUCAGUGAUUUUCCUACGGAACACAACAACACUUCAGUUUGUCUGUAAAAGGAACGGAGGCUAAAACUUGCCCAUCUAAAUACAGUCAAGGAAUUACACCAAGCUGUUACCGACGGGUGUAACCAUGCCUUGAGUAGGAUCGCAGACCUCCGUGCUAAGUCCAAAGAGUACAGAACAGGCCCUUACAUGGUGGAGGAAACAGCAGCCGCUAUGCCAGAUGUCAUUGAAGAACUACAGUUCGUCUUUGAUGCCGUAGAGUUUCAAAACCAAACAGCUAUGUUGAUCAUGAACACCUUGGAACGUGAUAUCACCAACUGUCAACAACGGAUGGAGCCAACAGUGGAAACUCAUACUACUCUGUUCACAACCAGACAGGAGAAAAUGGAGGAAACCAAGCUUUCUUUGUUGCAGAAGAGGAUGCACAGAGCUGUGGUGAAAUACUUCAGACAACGCAGCCUCUACAGCCUGGCUGAACUGGCCCGCUUCCAGAACCUCUCUAACGAGAACAACCAGAAAAUAAAAACCAUCCAGGAGGAGUUGUCAGAAGCAAUCCAGCGCAUCUCUGCUUUCCUGCAGUCAGUGGCAGAUGACUCAACUAGAGUAACAGUGAUCAUGCUGCGACAAUAGAGACAGCAGCAGAGAACAAACAAGCGGGUCUGGAUGCCAUUGGAUUGAACAAGAAGAAGAUUCUUACAGUUCAGAUAACAGUGUAAUUGGACAUUCACCUGGUCCCAGACAACUUACUUACCCCAGCACGCUUCACUAAUUCACUAUGCUCCCUCUCUCUCUCUUACCAGCAGCAGAUCCAUAACAAUGAAACAGGUGACUUUCAUGCUGCUGUCAGGACUGAUCUAAUUUUAGCUGGGUGAAUGAUUGCAAUUGGCUUUGCCUCAUCAGAUAAUUAAUCUAUGUCACCAUUAAUUGGAAAAGAGAAUAAUUACAGGCAGUGUUGACAGAAACUCUACGCUUCUCCAGAUUUCGAGAUCUAAUUACGACUACUAAAACCCACCGUGACCUUAACUAGCACUUAGUACAUCACCUCGACCACCCUGACCAAUGCCGAAGCAAAAAAACUUCCUCUCAGUAGACAUUAAGCCCUGUUUUUGUUGUUUCAUUUUUUUCUCCCUCUCCCUUUUUCUCUCUCCCUCUGUGCUCUCCUAGAGAGCUGUCUCCCUCAAUCACUUUUCAAUGUUCAAUCUUCAUUUUGUGGAAGUUUAGCAUUUUCAAUGAGCUGGAUAUGAAUGAUUAAUGAAUAAAUUUAAAUGCUUCAUUUUGUCCAUGGAUCAUUAGUUAAGUCCUUUGUGUGAAGGACCUGAAAAAAGGAGUAAAAAUUAUUGAGACAUUAGCCUGGAGCAAUCUAGGGGUAAAUAGUGUGCACAUUAUAAAAUAAUGUUGUGUAGCGGGUGCAGUAUCCUACUGGCUUUCUAACUAACUGAAGAACCCCCAGGUAACGCUGCUUUCAGUUUAGGCUGAAUCCCACAUAGUAUUUAUUUGUAGGAGAAAAUGUAUUAUUUUAUCAAGCAUGUUCCCAUUGCUUUAUAGGCCUACUAAUGAUGUGGCACAUUAAUAUUUAUUACAUUUAGAUUUUUCUGUUUGAUAAAAUUUGUGAUACAAAUAUUGUACGACAACAUUGUUUAUAUUAGAUUAUUGUGAUGAUGUAUGAUAUUUUCUCACCAAGAUGUUCUUGAACUCAACUCAAGAACUAGUGACAGUGUCACUCAGCCAGGUGAUGGAUACUGUUGGUCCAUUCAGGUCUGCUGUCUUCUGGUUCGCUGUGUGGUUGAUAGAGAUGUUGUUUGUUUGUUGAUGGCACCGAAGCCUCUCUCCCCUCCCUGCCUGCCAGCCAGGACAGAGGGGGGCAGUAUGAAACAACAAGCUGAGAGGGAGACAUUGACAUCACCAUUGACUUUAGCAAGACAAGCUCCAUUUCCUCCUUAGCAUGUCCACGUUCAUGCUUUGUCAUAGAAUAGCAUCUUAAAGUGUGUGUUCAAUUUGAUAAUUUGGUCUUUUUAAAUGUAAAAACAGAUAAAGUUAAAGUUAAAGGCCCAGUGCAGUCAAAAUGUGAUUUUCCUGUGUUUUAUUUAUUUCCACACUGAGGUUGGAAUAAUACUGUGAAAUUGUGAAAAUUAUGAUAAUGCCCU